rnacentral:rRNA from 1 species
AGUGAACGCUGGCGGUAGGCCUAACACAUGCAAGUCGAACGGCAGCACAGUAAGAGCUUGCUCUUACGGGUGGCGGGUGGCGGACGGGUGAGGAAUACAUCGGAAUCUACUUUUUCGUGGGGGAUAACGUAGGGAAACUUACGCUAAUACCGCAUACGACCUACGGGUGAAAGCAGGGGAUCUUCGGACCUUGCGCGAUUGAAUGAGCCGAUGUCGGAUUAGCUAGUUGGCGGGGUAAAGGCCCACCAAGGCGACGAUCCGUAGCUGGUCUGAGAGGAUGAUCAGCCACACUGGAACUGAGACACGGUCCAGACUCCUACGGGAGGCAGCAAUGGGGAAUAUUGGACAAUGGGCGCAAGCCUGAUCCAGCCAUACCGCGUGGGUGAAGAAGGCCUUCGGGUUGUAAAGCCCUUUUGUUGGGAAAGAAAAGCAGCAGGUUAAUACCCCGCUGUUCUGACGGUACCCAAAGAAUAAGCACCGGCUAACUUCGUG